GCACACACAGCUAUGCAGUGGGUGAGCUGACACCCGGAGUAUAUAAAGCAUGUUGAGGUCUCAUCUCAGCUAUCCUUCCGUUUACCCAGCAGCGAUGGCAGCAGCAGCUUUGUCCAGAAGCAGAGGAGUGGCUGGUGUCACAGCCACCAGAGGCCUGUUCUUCAUCUUCUCCCUACUGUGUCUGGUUUGCCUCGCAAGUUCAUUCAUUGACGAGGACCAACUGGAAAGGCAAAAGGAAAAUGUCCAGAAAGCAGAACAACAAAUUCUAAAAAGUUUGAAGUACAAAUCAGAAAUGGCCUCCAGUUUAGAGCUCAUAAAUGAAUAUAUGGGCUACCUGGACCCAAUGAUAGCAUUAGUGAAGAAAGCUACAGGAACAUCACCUGAUGACUUUCCACCAGUGGAUGGACUUCUGCAGAGCGUCAAGGCCUACAUGGAGAAAACCAAGAGUUACAUGGAAGACAACAAUGUGAAGUUAGGUGCAGAACUAAAGAACAUGGAGAAGGAUCUCGAAAAAAAUAAGAAAUAUAUAAAUUUCCUUGAGGAGCUUCAAGCUGAACUGUAGCAUCCAUGUCAAUUAGUGCCUCUAUUUCUGAUAUUGCAUCUAUUGUACCUAAGUUACUACCUUAAAUUUCUCUUUGUUUGUGCAACCUCAUUUCAAAAUGAUUUUAGAGUCACUGUUGACAGGGAUGUGAAAUGUGUUGAUAUACCAACAACUUUUUUUCAUACAUUACUACUGAUGUGCAGCCAUUACAAUUUAGGGAGUGGAAACAAUGGUUUUGACUAUAUUUUGACUAUGUUUUUGUUUUCUUUUGCUGCUUUAUUUUCACAAUUUCCUUCAAAACAUAAGCAUGAGCAGUUAAAUAACGAUAAUGANNNNNNNNNNNNNNNNNNNNAAACUGUAACUCACUAUCAGAUGAUUUAUACUGUAGACCUUUUAAUAUUACAGUUCACAACUUAAGUUAGUUUAAGUUAAGUUGCAGUUCCUCAUUGAUCCUUUCAUAUAAUUUUUAUUUCACAGCGAUGGCAGCAGCAGCUUUGUCCAGAAGCAGAGGAGUGGCUGGUGUCACAGCCACCAGAGGCCUGCUCUUCAUCUUCUCCCUACUGUAUUUGGUUUGUCUCGCAAGUUCAUUCAUUGACAAGGACCAACUGGUAAAUGUAUUUUUGCUUAACUUCCCUUUGCCAUAGAAAAAAAUUAUUCACAUUUAUCCACAGCCAUUAUGAGUCAUCACAAACACAUUUACUGUUGAAAAGGAACAUCACCUGAUGACUUUCCACCAGUGGAUGGACUUCUGCAGAGCGUCAAGGCCUACAUGGAGAAAACCAAGAGUUACGUGGAAGACAAAAAAGUGAAGUUAGGUGCAGAACUAGAGAACCUUGAAAAGGAUCUCGAAAAAAAGAAGAAAUUAAUCAAAUUCCUUGAGGAGCAGCUUGGUGAAUUGUAACAUCCAUGUCAAUUAGUGCCUCUAUCUCUGAUAUUGCAUCUAUUGUAUUCAUAAUUCAUACAUUUACAAAAAUGUGUUUUUUGUUUUCUUUUGCUGGUUUAUUUUCACAAUUUCCUUCAAAACAUAAGCAUGAGCAGUUAAAUAACAAUAAUGAUUCACAGCAUAUGUGGGCAACUCCAAUAAAUUCAGUACCUGCGAAUUGUUGUCUGUCUGUUGUCUGUUCUUUCUUUAUAAUCCUAAAAGACGAGGCCCAGAGUUCUGAUAUAAAUAUUUUCUCUGUAGAGGUAAUGCCAGGCUGGUAAGUUAUCCUCUCUGUUGCUUAUAACAAAGACCAUUUUUACUCACACUGAAAGAAUUCAAGCAUAUUAUUGAGAGAGAGCAGCUCUUUGAAUNNNNNNNNNNNNNNNNNNNNAGCAAAAACUUUUUAUUCAAACAUUUACAAAAGUUCUGAUGUGUAAUUACAUUUAUGGAAGUGGAAACAAUGGUUGUGCAACAUUUUCCUGGUUUAUUUUCACAGUAAAAAAAAGUUUUUUAUUCAUUGUCUGCUCUCUUUAGAAUGCGUCACUGUUCACAGGGAUGUGAAAUGUGUUGAUAUACCAACAACUUUGAAUUUAUGAGUAUAC
rnacentral:lncRNA from 15 species